rnacentral:rRNA from 1 species
AUUGAACGCUGGCGGAAUGCUUUACACAUGCAAGUCGAACGGCAGCACGGACUUCGGUCUGGUGGCGAGUGGCGAACGGGUGAGUAAUGUAUCGGAACGUGCCCAGUCGUGGGGGAUAACGUAGUGAAAAUUACGCUAAUACCGCAUACGAUCUAUGGAUGAAAGCGGGGGAUCGCAAGACCUCGCGCGAUUGGAGCGGCCGAUAUCAGAUUAGGUAGUUGGUGGGGUAAAGGCCCACCAAGCCAACGAUCUGUAGCUGGUCUGAGAGGACGACCAGCCCCACUGGAACUGAGACACCGUCCAGACUCCUACGGGAGGCAGCAGUGGGGAAUUUUGGACAAUGGGCGAAAGCCUGAUCCAGCCAUUCCGCGUGCAGGAUGAAGGCCCUCGGGUUGUAAACUGCUUUUGUACAGAACGAAAAGGUUUCUACUAAUACUAGGAGCUCAUGACGGUACUGUAAGAAUAAGCACCGGCUAACUACGUGCCAGCCGCCGCCGCUG